UACGUAGGGUCCGAGCGUUGUCCGGAAUUAUUGGGCGUAAAGGGCUCGUAGGCGGUCUGUUGUGUCGGGAGUGAAAACUUACAGCUUAACUGUGAGCGUGCUUCCGAUACGGGCAGACUUGAGGUAUUCAGGGGAGAACGGAAUUCCUGGUGUAGCGGUGAAAUGCGUAGAUAUCAGGAGGAACACCGAUGGCGAAGGCAGGUCUCUGGACAGUUCCUGACGCUGAGGCACGAAGGCCAGGGGAGCAAACGGG
rnacentral:rRNA from 1 species